ACAGCGUCUGGAGUAAGGAGUCCUGCCAUCAGCUCCACUGAUGAGUCUAAACAGUGACUCCGAGACGAAACGUAAU
rnacentral:hammerhead_ribozyme from 17 species